UCGGAGGAAAAGGAACCAACAGGGAUUGCCCUAGUAACGGCGAGUGAAGCGGCAACAGCUCAAAUUUGAAAUCUGGCUUCGGCCCGAGUUGUAAUUUGCAGAGGAAGCUUUAGGCGCGGCACUUUCUGAGUCCCCUGGAACGGGGCGCCAUAGAGGGUGAGAGCCCCGUAUAGUUAGAUGCCUAGCCUGUGUAAAGCUCCUUCGACGAGUCGAGUAGUUUGGGAAUGCUGCUCAAAAUGGGAGGUAAAUUUCUUCUAAAGCUAAAUACCGGCCAGAGACCGAUAGCGCACAAGUAGAGUGAUCGAAAGAUGAAAAGCACUUUGAAAAGAGGGUUAAAUAGCACGUGAAAUUGUUGAAAGGGAAGCGCUUGUGACCAGACUUGCGCCGGGCAGAUCAUCCGGUGUUCUCACCGGUGCACUCUGCCCGGCUCAGGCCAGCAUCGGUUCUCGCGGGGGGAUAAAGGCCCUGGGAACGUAGCUCCUCCGGGAGUGUUAUAGCCCGGGGCGUAAUGCCCUCGCGGGGACCGAGGUUCGCGCAUCUGCAAGGAUGCUGCGUAGACGUGGCGU
rnacentral:rRNA from 1 species